rnacentral:rRNA from 1 species
AUUGAACGCUGGCGGCAGGCCUAACACAUGCAAGUCGAGCGGAUGAAGGGAGCUUGCUCCUGGAUUCAGCGGCGGACGGGUGAGUAAUGCCUAGGAAUCUGCCUGGUAGUGGGGGAUAACGUCCGGAAACGGGCGCUAAUACCGCAUACGUCCUGAGGGAGAAAGUGGGGGAUCUUCGGACCUCACGCUAUCAGAUGAGCCUAGGUCGGAUUAGCUAGUUGGUGGGGUAAAGGCCUACCAAGGCGACGAUCCGUAACUGGUCUGAGAGGAUGAUCAGUCACACUGGAACUGAGACACGGUCCAGACUCCUACGGGAGGCAGCAGUGGGGAAUUUUGGACAAUGGGCGAAAGCCUGAUCCAGCCAUACCGCGUGUGUGAAGAAGGUCUUCGGAUUGUAAAGCACUUUAAGUUGGGAGGAAGGGCAGUAAGUUAAUACCUUGCUGUUUUGACGUUACCAACAGAAUAAGCACCGGCUAACUUCGUG